rnacentral:rRNA from 1 species
GACGUAGGGCGCGAGCGUUGUCCGGAUUUAUUGGGCGUAAAGGGCUCGUAGGCGGUUUGUCGCGUCGGGCGUGAAAACUCAGGGCUUAACCCUGAGCCUGCUCCCGAUACGGGCAGACUAGAGGUAUGCAGGGGAGAACGGAAUUCCUGGUGUAGCGGUGAAAUGCGCAGAUAUCAGGAGGAACACCGGUGGCGAAGGCGGUUCUCUGGGCAUUACCUGACGCUGAGGAGCGAAAGUGUGGGGAGCGAACAGG